rnacentral:rRNA from 1 species
UACGAAGGGGGCUAGCGUUGCUCGGAAUUACUGGGCGUAAAGGGCGCGUAGGCGGAUAUUUAAGUCGGGGGUGAAAGCCCAGGGCUCAACCCUGGAACAGCCUUCGAUACUGGGUAUCUUGAGUACGGGAGAGGUGUGUGGAACUCCGAGUGUAGAGGUGAGAUGCGUAGAUAGUCGGAAGAACACUAGUGGCGAAGGCGACACACUGGCCCGUUACUGACGCUGAGGCGCGAAAGCGUGGGGAGCAAACAGG